AUCAUAUGGUAACUCUAUUUUUAGUUUUUGAGGACCCUUUAUGCUGUUCUCCAUAGUGGCUGGACUAACCAUGUUUUCCUUUAGUAGUUUUAUAGUUUGAGGCACUAUAUUUUAUUUCUAAAUUUAUUUCUAAGAUGGUCCAAUUACUAUAGGAAGUUAGUUUGAGAUGAACGUAGACAUUGCUCUAAUGUGAGCUGAUUCAAAUAGCUGGGUCCUGCCUUCUCCCCAGUUUACCAUUUCUGUAAGAAAAAUAUGCAAAACACAGACUUUCCUGCCCUGCCCAGAGCACUCCUGAGGCCCGGCUCUCCCACUCCCGUUUCUACUGUGAAACAUGCGUCUUGGGUGUCUCGGAUACCCCCCU
rnacentral:lncRNA from 1 species